rnacentral:rRNA from 1 species
UACGUAGGGGGCAAGCGUUGUCCGGAUUUAUUGGGCGUAAAGAGCGUGUAGGCGGUUUGGUAGGUCCGUUGUGAAAACUCGAGGCUCAACCUCGAGACGCCGAUGGAAACCAUCAGACUAGAGUCCGGAAGAGGAGAGUGGAAUUCCUGGUGUAGCGGUGAAAUGCGCAGAUAUCAGGAGGAACACCGGUGGCGAAGGCGGGUCUCUGGGCCGAUAUUGACGCUGAGGAGCGAAAGCGUGGGGAGCGAACAGG